rnacentral:rRNA from 1 species
CCUACGGGUGGCUGCAGUGGGGAAUAUUGGACAAUGGGCGAAAGCCUGAUCCAGCCAUGCCGCGUGUGUGAAGAAGGCCUUCGGGUUGUAAAGCACUUUCAGUGGGGAAGAAAGCCUUGGGGCUAAUACCCUCGAGGAAGGACAUCACCCACAGAAGAAGCACUGGCUAACUCCGUGCCAGCAGCCGCGGUAAUACGGAGGGUGCGAGCGUUAAUCGGAAUUACUGGGCGUAAAGCGCGCGUAGGCGGUCUGAUAAGCCGGUUGUGAAAGCCCCGGGCUCAACCUGGGAACGGCAUCCGGAACUGUCAGGCUAGAGUGCAGGAGAGGAAGGUAGAAUUCCCGGUGUAGCGGUGAAAUGCGUAGAGAUCGGGAGGAAUACCAGUGGCGAAGGCGGCCUUCUGGACUGACACUGACGCUGAGGUGCGAAAGCGUGGGUAGCAAACAGGAUUAGAUACCCGAGUAGUC